rnacentral:tRNA from 1 species
GCCUGGGUGGCUAAGUUGGUUAAGCAUCUGCCUUCGGCUCAGGUCACGAUCCCAGAGUCCUGGGAUCGAUUCCCACGUCAGGCU